AGAGCGAACGCUGGCGGCAGGCUUAACACAUGCAAGUCGAGCGGGCGUAGCAAUACGUCAGCGGCAGACGGGUGAGUAACGCGUGGGAACAUACCUUUUGGUUCGGAACAACACAGGGAAACUUGUGCUAAUACCGGAUAAGCCCUUACGGGGAAAGAUUUAUCGCCGAAAGAUUGGCCCGCGUCUGAUUAGCUAGUUGGUGAGGUAACGGCUCACCAAGGCGACGAUCAGUAGCUGGUCUGAGAGGAUGAUCAGCCACACUGGAACUGAGACACGGUCCAGACUCCUACGGGAGGCAGCAGUGGGGAAUAUUGGACAAUGGGCGCAAGCCUGAUCCAGCAAUGCCGCGUGUGUGAAGAAGGCCUUCGGGUUGUAAAGCACUUUUAUCAGGAACGAAUACUACCGGUUAAUAACCGGUGGGCUGACGGUACCUGAGGAAUAAGCACCGGCUAACUUCGUGCCAGCAGCCGCGGUAA
rnacentral:rRNA from 1 species